rnacentral:misc_RNA from 1 species
ACUACCCAAUUUAUGAAUAAUAAUAAAGUUUUAAGUAGAAAAGCGUACUUCACCGAAAACACAAAAGUUAGCCUCUUGGAGUUGUUUUCUGCAAAAACGGAUGCCAAAAUCGGAUUCACAACGUCAAAAUUAGUCAAGCAGGACACCUUCAAUUUUUUUUUGGUUGACGUGGCACUAGAUGGCGUGUUUGAUGAGGUGGCAGGAUGAAGUGGCAGAUGAUUGCUGGCGUGGUGAUGAUGUGUCGAUGAGGUGGUGGGAUGAUGUGGCAGUGGUUGGCUGACGUGGUGAUGAUGUAUUUGAUGAGGUGGCAGGAUGACGUGGUCCUUUGAUGAGCGGCAAUGAUGAUGUGGCAGGGAUUGCUGACUUGGCGAUGACAUGUCGAUGAUGUGGUAGGAUGACGUGGUGAGAUGAUGUGGCACUCAAUUGCAAACAUGUCGAUGAGGUGGCAAGAUGAUGCCACAGUGGUUGGCUGACAUGGCGGCAGCUUCUGGGUUUCUCCAUUUCACAAUUUUUUUUUGAAUAAACAGUAAACUAAAGAUAAAAAUUUAAUGGAAGAAGUUUGAGAUUUUAGAAGGCAAGAACACAGAUUUGAAAGCU